UUAUUUGAAGCACUGAAGAUCUCAUAUGACAACAAAGAGGCCGUUGCCGAAAAGCGUUGUGACGGUGAUUUUGGCUGGCUCAUGUUGACUGCGCCGCAAAAUUAUAACUGCCCUUUUGAGAAGAAACGCGGAAGGCAGAAUGUUUUCCUAUACAGCAAAGGAAAGGAUGCGGCCAAAUUAAACGAUGAUAACGCCGUAGGAGUAGCUGAUUAUAUGGCUAUUUUUAUGCUAUGAGCAUCACGAAAGCAGUCAAAGAAAGAAGACAACAUGUUUAAGCGGAGCAAGCUUGCCUUGUGAUAUAUUUCACUGUUUGCUGCAUUGAGUCAUUGAUAAAGCCUAGUUUGCCUUUUCUUACAUUUGAGCAGAGUCAACUUUUAUUUGAAGAGAUUUGCAUGUGUACGCGUUGCUUUAUAAGGAGACACGACCUCAAAUGUCAUUAAACUUUUUUGAAAGCAAC